rnacentral:rRNA from 1 species
UACGGAGGGUGCAAGCGUUAUCCGGAUUUACUGGGUUUAAAGGGUGCGUAGGCGGGCCCUUAAGUCAGUGGUGAAAGCUCCGAGCUUAACUCGGAAACUGCCAUUAAUACUAUAGGUCUUGAAUUCGGUCGAGGUUGGCGGAAUGUGUCGUGUAGCGGUGAAAUGCUUAGAUAUGACACAGAACACCGAUUGCGAAGGCAGCUAGCUAGACCGACAUUGACGCUGAGGCACGAAAGCGUGGGGAUCAAACAGG